UACGUAGGCAGCGAGCGUUGUUCGGAAUUACUGGGCGUAAAGAGUGUGUAGGCGGUGCUCUAAGUUCGGUGUGAAAUCUCCUGGCUCAACUGGGAGGGUGCGCCGGAAACUGGAGUGCUUGAGCGUGGGAGAGGAAAGCGGAAUUCCUGGUGUAGCGGUGAAAUUCGUAGAUAUUGGGAAGAACACCGGUGGCGAAGGCGGCUCUCUGGACCGACACUGACGCUGAGGCGCGAAAGCGUGGGGAGCAAACAGG
rnacentral:rRNA from 1 species